AAGAGGUUGUGGCUCGGCAGGAGCACAGCGGCCAGCGGGGCCCCGGCAGCGGUGACACCGAGUGCUGGGAGCCGCUGGCAGGUGAAGGACACAGGGAUCGCUCUGGCAAUGGCCUCAUGAAGAAGGACACAGUGAAAGAGAGGAGCCAUUCAUUCCUGAUGAUGCAAACAGGGCACCAAAGGCUCUCUGACACAGGGACAAGGAUGAGACCCUGGGGCAACACAGAAACUGGCUGUUAGGUCAGACUGAAAACUGAGCCUGCACAUCACUGCAUCUGUGAGCCUAUAUUCAGUCUGGCAUUUGACGCAGCUGGUUUUGUUGUGCAAGAAGAUGGAGUGGGAUGUCACCGACCAGCUGAUUCCAUCUGUGCCCUUUCUGCUGCCAUCGGCAGCAGGACUGUGCACAUCCAUCUCAUCCAACAGUCCACGAGGAAAGGACCUGAAUAAUUUCAGGAGAUCGUGAAUUGGUGACACUCUAGAGGACUGUUAAACGUGUGGACAGAACUUCUUUGAGGAACAUUUUUUCUCCAGCUAUGUACAUGAAAGAUUGAAGAAAUCUCUCAAAUGUACAGUCUAUUGAACUAGUAAUAUACUACACAAAGCUACCAAGAGACAAUACAUUGACUAUCCAAUCUAUACCCUUUAAAGGAUGUUAGACAGAUACAUAGAAGAACUGGAAGAAUCGUACUAGGUUAGAUCUACAGAAGAAAAGACUGUGGGUCUGUCCAAGCAUUAAUGCUGUUUUUGAGACUGGUUGUCACCAGAUAACUGAGAAGAUGGCAGAAGACCCUUCUAUCAAACAGAUAUGAUAUAGCUUGUCCUUUCUGUCAAGUAUCCUCUGCUUUUGUACUGCGGCAUUACUCUCAUUUAGGUUACAUUGAGCCCUGGAGCACAAUGGCCAUUUCGAUAAGUAUUAUUACAUUGCUUGUAUACCACACUUGUCAUAACUCCAGGUACCACUCUUAUCCAUGAGAAUGCUCAGUCUCACUAGGAAUCUUCAUUGGUCUCAUUUCCUCUGAGAAUGAAUUCUAUUACCUAAUUAUAUAUUGUAGAAAAAGUGUUUCCUUAUAAUGGCUUCCAGCUUGCCUUUUAUUUUCCUUGUUGUUAUACUAUUUAUCAGAGAAAAGGGAUAUUCUCAUUCUUCCAUUUAAAUAGCAGCCACUGUUUCACAUACUUUUGAUACAUUUGCUCUUAUUCCUCUCCUUUCUAAAUCAAACCGUUUCAUCUUUUCACACUCUCCUCUUGAAAGUUUUUUUCCUGUUUGUGAUCACUCUCAUUGUCUUUCUCUGAACACUAAUAUAUGAUAUACACAUUCAAGCAUUUUAUCUGCAAGAUCCUUACCACUGCUUGUGACCCAUGAGAUACUUAAUUUAAAGCAUACAAAUAUUCCCUCUGCUCUCAGUGGGACUUUUUGUGUAAUUAAAUAAAUGUUGAAGACAUUGGUUGAUGUUGCCAGAUACAUGUUUGUGCCUACAACCAAAAAAACACGUGCAGUUUUCUUAGUCACACUAGAAGGGCAAUCUGUGUAGCUAUUGAUUUCAGCCACAUACUCACAUGCUUAAAAAUAAGCCCACAGUUGAGCCUUUGCUUCUGCAGAUUAAUGCCAAUCUGCCUGUGUUCUCUCUCAGAAGACCACACACUUACUACAUGAACACACUAUGACAGCAAUCUGCACGGAAACAAAGUGAUAUUGAGGAAAUAAUGGGGAAAAAAAUGUAAAAAGUAAACUGAAUUAUGAAGCCAAAUUACUGCUAAACACAAUGACAAUAAAUACUUUCAGCCACAGGCAA